rnacentral:rRNA from 1 species
GACGAACGCUGGCGGCGUGCUUAACACAUGCAAGUCGAACGGAAAGGCCCUGCUUUUGUGGGGUGCUCGAGUGGCGAACGGGUGAGUAACACGUGAGUAACCUGCCCUUGACUUUGGGAUAACUUCAGGAAACUGGGGCUAAUACCGGAUAGGAGCUCCUGCUGCAUGGUGGGGGUUGGAAAGUUUCGGCGGUUGGGGAUGGACUCGCGGCUUAUCAGCUUGUUGGUGGGGUAGUGGCUUACCAAGGCUUUGACGGGUAGCCGGCCUGAGAGGGUGACCGGCCACAUUGGGACUGAGAUACGGCCCGGACUCCUACGGGAGGCAGCAGUGGGGAAUAUUGCACAAUGGGCGGAAGCCUGAUGCAGCAACGCCGCGUGCGGGAUGACGGCCUUCGGGUUGUAAACCGCUUUCGCCUGUGACGAAGCGUGAGUGACGGUAAUGGGUAAAGAAGCACCGGCUAACUACGUGCCAGCAGCCGCGGUGAUACGUAGGGUGCGAGCGUUGUCCGGAUUUAUUGGGCGUAAAGGGCUCGUAGGUGGUUGAUCGCGUCGGAAGUGUAAUCUUGGGGCUUAACCCUGAGCGUGCUUUCGAUACGGGUUGACUUGAGGAAGGUAGGGGAGAAUGGAAUUCCUGGUGGAGCGGUGGAAUGCGCAGAUAUCAGGAGGAACACCAGUGGCGAAGGCGGUUCUCUGGGCCUUUCCUGACGCUGAGGAGCGAAAGCGUGGGGAGCGAACAGGCUUAGAUACCCUGGUAGUCCACGCUGUAAACGGUGGGUACUAGGUGUGGGGUCCAUUCCACGGGUUCCGUGCCGUAGCUAACGCUUUAAGUACCCCGCCUGGGGAGUACGGCCGCAAGGCUAAAACUCAAAGGAAUUGACGGGGCCCCGCACAAGCGGCGGAGCAUGCGGAUUAAUUCGAUGCAACGCGUAGAACCUUACCUGGGUUUGACAUGGAUCGGGAGUGCUCAGAGAUGGGUGUGCCUCUUUUGGGGUCGGUUCACAGGUGGUGCAUGGCUGUCGUCAGCUCGUGUCGUGAGAUGUUGGGUUAAGUCCCGCAACGGGCGCAACCCUUGUUCACUGUUGCCAGCACGUUAUGGUGGGGACUCAGUGGAGACCGCCGGGGUCAACUCGGAGGAAGGUGGGGAUGACGUCAAGUCAUCAUGCCCCUUAUGUCCAGGGCUUCACGCAUGCUACAAUGGCUGGUACAGAGAGUGGCGAGCCUGUGAGGGUGAGCGAAUCUCGGAAAGCCGGUCUCAGUUCGGAUUGGGGUCUGCAACUCGACCUCAUGAAGUCGGAGUCGCUAGUAAUCGCAGAUCAGCAACGCUGCGGUGAAUACGUUCCCGGG